CCACAGGUUCCAAAAAAAUAUUAAGCAACACAACUGUUUCCAACAUUGAUAAUAACUGAGUAUCAAAUCAUCAUAUUACAAUGAUUUCUGAAGGAUCAUGUGACACUGAAGACUGGAGUAAUGAUGCUGAAAAUUCAGCUUUGAUCACAGAAAUAAAUUAUAUUUUAAAGUAUAUUAAAAUAGAAAACCAUAAUUUUAAAUUGUAAUAAUAUUUCACAAUAUUAUUGUUUUUUCUGUAUUUAUUAUGAAAUAAAUGCAGCCUUAAUGAGCAUAAGAGACUUCAAAAACAUUAAGAAUAGUAAUGUUUCCAAACUUUUGACCGGUAGUGUAUGCUUGCAAAAAAUGCUAAUGUUGUGUAAACUGCAGCUCAGAAUGAUGUUGCAUUCUGGUGUAAUAGAGAUAAGAUGAAAUGUGUAGAAGUUGUGAAAGUUGAAGUUCAUGAACUGAUUAACCAACCUGAAAGUUUAACAAGAAGGCACAUGAGGAUGAAGAGAGUGUGUUGCAACCUCAAGUGGAGGUGAGCCAGAUGAAGACUUCAGUGAAGAAGAGGAAGAGUGCUAGAAGAAGACGACAGCAUAGGCGACAAAGGAAGGACAUCCGGCUUAGUAAGCAAGAGAUACAGAGACUGAUACGCCUACAGCAGGAAGAUUGGAUCAUAGGCAUUGAUCAACUGAUGAGUAAUAUGAAGUUGGAAUGUCCCAAAAAUUAGUAUAAAAGUUUGAGGAGUAAAAGGCCUCCUCAGAUGCUGCCUGCAUUAAGCGUAGAAGGACAUCUGAUACCCUAAUGAGGGGCGCUUAACAGCAUCUCCAAUAUUGCUGGGUAAAGCUAGGAUAUAGAGCUUUUUAGCUUAAGUUGAUUUAAGUUUUAUUUUGCAUUAACUGUUUUGUAUUGUAAUCAAUAAAAGAGAGAUUUUAUUGUUGCAUUUGCCUUCCGUGAGACUUUACUUAUAACUACAAACUGAGCCUCGACAAAGAACAACCACAAGGUAGUCUUCUACGUCAUUCCUGAAGAACUUCAACCUGCUGGCGGAGAAACGCUGGAGCUCUGUCAGAGUGACUCACCUCCCUGACUAAGGCCCUUCUCCCCCGAUCACUCAGUUUGGCUGGGCGACCCGCUCUAGGAAGAGUCCUGGUGGUUCCAAACUUCUUCCAAGGAUGAUCAGUGGAAACAGGAGCACCUGAGCUCAAUUUUGAGUGUCAUGGCAAAAGCUGUGAAUACUUAUGUACAUGUGAUUUUUUUCAUUUUUUAUUUUUAAUAAAUUUGCAAAGAUUUCAAACAAA